rnacentral:tRNA from 1 species
GGAGGGGUGCCAGAGUGGCCGAUUGGGCACGCCUGGAAAGCGUGUGUACCCUCACGGGUACCGUGGGUUCGAAUCCCACCCCCUCCGCCA